rnacentral:tRNA from 1 species
GGAGAGAUGACCGAGUGGACGAAGGUGCAGCACUGGAAAUGCUGUGUGCGCGCAAGCGCACCGGGGGUUCGAAUCCCCCUCUCUCCGCCU